GUGCGAUGGACCAAUAUGAUAAGGUUCGACGGCUUCAAAUGUACAUGGAUAAAAAAAGAAAGUCUUUUUGCAAAAGCUAGUAUGCUAAAAGAAGGAAGAAAGAUACCACAGGGACAGUCAAACUUAUAAAUCGAAAAUAAACUGACAACGCCAUGGCUAAAAAUUAAAAAGACAAACAGACAAACAAUAGUACACAUGACACAACAUAGAAAACUAAAGAAUAAGC
rnacentral:lncRNA from 1 species